rnacentral:lncRNA from 1 species
UAAGGGUUAGUGGUUUAGAAUUUAGGGUUUAGGGUUCAGGGGUCGGAUAAGGGUUUUAGGUUAGUUUAGAUUAAUUUCUUUAAAUAAUGUUUUAAAAAAUCAAUUUAAAGUACCAAUUGAUAUUAAUUGGUAUAAUGUUUUUGUCAUUUAAAUAUUAUUUUAAAUAGAAUUAAGUUUAAUAAGUUAAAAAAUAGUUUGAAAUAUGCAUUAAAGCUUUAUUAAACGGCGCCGUUUCAGAUUAUAACUUAAGUUUUUAGUGGCGUUUUUUGGAAACACCGCAAAUAUACAAGAAAU